rnacentral:lncRNA from 1 species
CCGUUUUUUCACCGUUUUUCGCCGUUUUUUCACCGUUUUUUCACUUUUUUUGCGUUUUUCCCCAUUUUUCUCACCGGCAGUGGCGCACCAGGCACUCACUGCAGAACUCCCCAUUUUCCCCCCAUUUUCGCCCCGUUUUCACCCAUUUUUUCACCGUUUUUCACUGUUUUUUCACCGUUUUUAGCCGUUUUUUCACUGUUUUUGCCCGUUUUUUUGCUUUUUUUCCCCAUUUUUCUCACCGGCAGUGGCGCACCAGCCAUUUGCUGUGGAACUCCCCUUUUUUUCCCCAUUUUCGCCCCUUUUUUCACAGUUUUUAGCCGUUUUUUUACCGUUUUCGGCCGUUUUUCACCGUUUUUUCCCAUUUUCCCCCGUUUUUCCCCAUUUUCCUCACCGGCAGUGGUGCACCAGGCACUCGCUGCUGCAGAACUCCCCAUUUUUCCCCCCAUUUUCGCCCAUUCUUUUCCCGUUUUUAGUCAUUUUUUCACCGUUUUUCACAGUUUUUGCCCGUUUUUUCACCGUUUUUCACCGUUUUUGCCCGUUUUUUUGCUUUUUUUCCCCAUUUUUCUCACCGGCAGUGGCGCACCAGGCACUUGCUGUGGAACUCCCCUUUUUUUCCCCUUUUUCGACCGUUUUUUCACCGUUUUUAGUCAUUUUUUCACCAUUUUUGCCCGUUUUUUCACCGUUUUUUCCCGUUUUUUCCCAUUUUUUCCCGUUUUCGCCCCGUUUCUCACCGGCAGUGGCGCACCAGGCACUCGCUGCUGCAGAACUCCUCGUCCCAGUCGCCGCUGGCCACGGGCGCGUUCUCGCAGCCGGCGCGGACGCACCGACCCCGCGGCCACUCGGCCGCGCCCGGCGGCGACUCCGCCACGGCCACCAGCUCCAGGCGCGGCGGCGACGGCACCUGCGACCCAAAAUCCCCCUUUUUUAACCCAAAUCCUGCUUUUUACACCCUUUUUACACAAAUCCCAUUUUUUACAGCGUUUUUUUACCCCAUUUUUAACCCAAUUUUCCCUAUUUUUUACCCCAUUUCCCUCCCCAAAAAUGUCAUUUUUUACACCGUUUCCCUCCCAAAAAUCUCAUUUUUUACCCCAUUUCCCACCCAAUUUCUUCGCAAUUUCCCCUUUUUUUCCCCAAAUCCCAAUUUUUAACCCUAUUCCCCCA